rnacentral:lncRNA from 1 species
AGCCAUAUCCAUGGCAUAGGGAAGUUCCCAGGCUAGAGGCUGAAUCUGAGCUGUAUUUGUCAGCCUAAACCACAGCCACAGCCAUGCAGGAUCUGAGCCGCAUUAGCAAACUACACCACAGCUAAUGGCAAUGCCAGAUCCCUGACCCACCAAGCAAGGCCAGGGAUCGAAUCCGCAUCCUCAUCAACACUAGUCAGAUUCAUUUCUGCUGCACCACAAUAGGAACUCCCAGGGCAUUUUUUUUUAAUGUUCAGAAAAUUACAUUCAUGGAUAGAAAGGGCACAGGAGAGGGUCUAUUUCAUUUUAAAGAUUGCAGGACACACUGCAAUGAGGGUCCAGGGCCAAGAAGAGAGGGAGGAGGGCAGGAAAGGAAAGCAGUGCCUACAGUGAGGUCUCCUGCAUUCAGCCCUGCCAUCUGCCAGGAGCUGGUUCUGAUGCCACUAGGCUCUGGCUUCCAGCCAAAGCUGCACUUACUUGAUGCUGUGCAGCUUCCUUGUGACUCUCACUGCAAAGUCUACUUCCCAAUUUCUAGUUGGUAGGAGAGCUGCAUCCUGAGAAAGCACAUAUAGCAAUCCUUAUACAAUUAUUUAUACUCACACCUUCAGCCAUCAUCUUCAUGGACCAAGGACUAGGGCUCCAUGAGCAAUGGGGGGACUUAAGGAUUUUAAAUCAGGGGAAUGAUGUGUUUCGAGAUAUACUUUCUAGGUGUUCCCAUUGUGGCUUAGCGGUAGAGAAUCUGACUAGGAUUCAUGAGGAUGCGGGUUUGAAUCAGUGGUUAAGGAUCCAGGAUUGCCAUGAGCUGUGGUGUAGGUCACAGAUGUGGCUCGGAUCCUGCAUUUCUGUGGCUGUGGUGUGGGCCAGAAGCUACAACUCUGAUUCAACCCCUAGCCUGGGAACUUCCAUAGGCUGUGGGUGCAGCCCUAAAAAGACAAUAAAUAAAUAAAUAAAUAAAUAAAUAAGAGAUAGAGAAAAAGAAAUGUUCAUUCCAAAUCACUCUGGUCUCAGCAAAAAGAAUGGAUGGAGGGGGAAAGGAGGUUAUUGGAGUCAUCCAGCUAAGAAGUCAUGAGGAGCCUGAAUCGGAUGAGUGGCCAGGAAGGGAGGGGCUAAAAGCUGGUUUGGAAACAGGACAUCACAGGAUUUCCUCAAAAGCAGCUUGAGACCUAUUAGAGUCAAGAACUCCAUGGAGUUCCCGUCGUGGCACAGUGGUUAACGAAUCCGACUAGGAACCAUGAGGUUUCAGGUUCAAUCCCUGCCCUUGCUCAGUUGGUUAACAAUCCGGUUGCCCUGAGCUGUGGUGUAGGGUGCAGACAUGGCUCGAAUCACGCGUUGCUGUGGCUCUGGCGUAGGCUGGUGGCUACAGCUCCGUGUUCGACCCACAUGCCACAAGAGCGGUCCAAGAAAUGGCAAAAAGACCAAAAAAAAAAAAAAAAGGAAAUCCACAUGGUGGAUUGUGACAGCAGUUGGGGAUAACAGAGAAAUGGCACAUAUCUGAAGGCAUCCAGGGGAUGAGGUAUAAGUAUUAUUUUGUGAUGCAUGAGUUUUUUUCCAGGAUGGUGGAGAACAGAGGGGCCAUAAAGAGCAGGCAUGCUGGGCCUGGGGAGACAGGGUUCAAAUCCUAGUUCUACCACUUGUUUGCUGUGAGGCCUUGAGAAAGUCAUGAACUCCCUGGGCCAGAGUUUCCUCAUUUGAAAAGGAGAGAAAGUGGUGACACCUCAUGGGGUUGUGAGGAUUAAUGAGGAAAUACAGGAGGGACACAAAGACUAGGGCCUGCCCUCAGUAAGCAUCAUGCGCAUGCCUCUACCAUCCACAGACACGGGUACACAGACCCAGGUCCUGGCUAGAAAUGCACAGUAAUACUCUACUGUGCCUGCAGUUUACAAAAGUGUGAAACACACACACACACACACACACGGCCCUGCUUCCCCCUUCUGCUUUUCCUAGGUUAGUCAUUGGCCAUGACCACAUCUAGGCACCUGCUAGUCAUGACAGAAUUCUCCCAUCUCCUCACUGUCCAAUCAGUCACUCAGCCCUGAAUGUAUGCAAAUGUCAGAUCCCUGUGUAAUAUACCUGAAACUAACACACUAUGUCAAAUUACAUGAUGUCACUUCUAUGUGAAAUCUAAAAAACAAAAGCUACAAAUGGACUUAAGUACAAGACAGAAAUAGACCCACAGACAUAGCAGAAACACCUAUGGUUACCAAGGGGGAAAGGGGAUGGGGAGGGAUAAAUCAGGAGUUUGGGAUUAGCAGAUACCCUCCACUAUGUAUAAAACAGAUAACCAACAGGGACCUACUUCAUAGCCCAGGGAACUAUACUGAACAAUCUAUACUAAGGUAUAAGGGCAAAAACACUUAAAAUAUAUACAUAAAUACACAGACACACAAAGACACAAAUAACUGAAUCAGUGUGCUAUACACCUGAAACUAACACAACACUGCAAAUCAAUUAUAUUUCAAUAAAAAGUUAUUCCACAUAUAUAUUUCAAUUUUAAAAAUUUGCUCAGCCCCAUUGCCUGUUCUCAAACACAUCCUCUCCUCCUCUGCUCCAUCACCAGUUGUGGAGACAAAACAACACCCCUUUCUACUCACAGCAGCUCCUCACACCUCUAACACUUAGCAAGAAACCAAGUGCUCCACAACCUGGCCAACCUGCUAAGAAAUUCUACAACACUUUCAAAAGCUUUCACUCACAGGGGAUGGAGCCUUAAGAAAAACCUAAAAUUCGGAGUUCCCGUCGUGGCGCAGUGGUUAACGAAUCCGACUAGGAACGAAUGAGGUUGCAGGUUCAGUCCCUGCCCUUGCUCAGUGGGUUAACAAUGAUCCGGCAUUGCUGUGAGCUGUGGUGUAGGUUGCAGAUGCGGCUUGGAUCCCGCGUUGCUGUGGCUCUGGCGUAAGCUGGUGGCUGCAGCUCCGAUUAGGCCCCUAGCCUGGGAACCUCCAUAUGCCGCAGGAACGGCCCAAAGAAAUAGCAAAAAGACCAAAAAAAAAAAAAAAAAAAAAAAAGAAAGAAAAAGAAAAAAGAAAAACCUAAAAUUCCAGGAGACCCCAAGGACCAUUAGAAGGACAGCACAGCAUCCUACAUCCCAGAGAGGACUUCUGACUGUUUGAGGAGCCUGCCUGAGCCCUCGCACACUUGCUCCUCAUCGAGCUCUGAGUGAGGGAUCCCUGGGGAAGGAAGCUUCCAAAAGGCACACCUGGAGCUGUUCAGAAGCAGACAUCCUCUUUGUCAGCCUUGAGAAAGGGGCAAAAAGACUGUGGCAAGGGAUGCCUCAACAUUUGAUUCCACAGUUCUCUCUGGACCUUCUGACUCUCCACUCCCAGGUAGCUGGCGGGGCACCUGAGGCAGGGAAGGGAGCCAAGGCUGAGCACAGCCACAAGGGGGUGGCCACGAACAGCCACCAGGAAUGGUGGCCCUGAGACAAAGACAACAUGGUCACCAGCUGCACAGGUGCCCAAACAGAUACUGCGUCCCGUGGGCAGUGGAUCCUCUGGCCACACGGAAAAGUUAUUCAAGAGACACUGAAAGGAGUUCCUGUCGUGGCUCAGUGGUUAAUGAAUCCGACUAGGAACCAUGAGGUUGCGGGUUCGAUCCCUGGCCUUGCUCAGUGGGUUAAGGAUCUAGUGUUGCCAUGAGCUGUGGUGUAGCUUGCAGAUGCAGAUUGGAUCCCGCAUUGCUGUAGCUCUGGCAUAGGCUGGUGGCUGCAGCUCCAAUUCAGCCCCUAGCCUGGGAACCUUCAUAUGCUGUGGGAGCAACCCAAGAAAAUGGUAAAAAGACAAAAAAAAAAAAAAAGACAGACUCAAGGCCUCUUAAAGAGUUUCACUCAUUCUUUAUUCUUUGCCCCAUUCUUGCCCAUUGCCUGGAGGUGGGUGUCUUAGACCAUCAGUCUUGGGCCCCUGGGAUCAAAUGGAAUGAGCUCUCAAGGCCAUGGUCCCUGAAAGCCUGUGACUCUCAGCUAAGCCUCUCCAGGUGCGGCUGGGGGGACUCCCCAGGGGGAAGGGGCAUGAGACCGCAAAACCGAUGGACAGGACUUUCCCUGCCCUUGUACAGAAUAGAAAACUCUAAGACAGGGCUUAGCAGACGUUCUGGAAAGAACCAGAAAGUACGCAUUUUAGCUAUGUAAGCUAGGGGCUCUCUGUCGAAGCUUCUCAGCCUUGCAGUCCGAGUGCCAAAGCAACCACAGAUAAGGUGUAAAUAAAUGGGAGUAGCUAAAUUCCAAGAAAACUUUAUUUACAAAAAGAGGUGGUGGGCUGGAUUUGUCCUGUACAACUUCUCUAAAAGGUAAACAACCCCAAUUUUUUUAAAAAAGAGACAAUUUAGGCAUUCCUAUCAUGGCUCAGCAGUAACAACCCCAACUAGUAUCUACCAGGAUGCAGGAUAGAUCCCUGACCUUGCUCAGUGGGUUAAGGAUCUGGUGUGGCUGUGAGCUGUUAUGUAGGUGGCAGAGGUGCCUUGGAUCCUGCAUUGCUGUGGCUGUGGCUAUGGCUGGCAGCUGCAGCUCCAAUUCAACCGCUAGCUUGGGAACUUCCAUAUCUGUGGGUGCAGCCCUAAAAAGAUAAAAAGUAAAAAAAAAAUAAAAAUAAAAAAGUAGAUGUUAGAAACUCUAUUUUCAAACAUGGAGUUCUCACUGUGGCUCAGCAGGUUAAGAACCCCAGUAGUAUCCAUGAGGAUGUGGGUUUGAUCCAUGGCCUCACUCAGGAGGUAAAGGAUCCGGCAUUGCUGUGAGCAGUGGUGUAGGUCACAGAGGUGGCUCAGAUCUGGCUUUGCUGUGGCUGUGGUGUAGGCGGGCAAUUGCACCUCCAACUCAAUUCCUAGGUACAGCCCUGAAAAGACAAAAAAUAUACAUACCAGAAAAUCCAAAAAACUGCCACAUAGGACUUGAAGGCUCUAAGCUAUUCCCCCUCCUUGCCUCUGACAGACAGCCUUCUUCUUGGAAGGAGCACCUUGGCUCGAUGUAUCUCACUCAGACUAUACCUCUUUGUUCCCUCAUAUCACUAAUUCCUUUUCCAGCACCCUAAUCAUCAAAUAACCUCACCUCAUACAUCAUUAAGAA